rnacentral:rRNA from 1 species
CAGCGCCACGAGUGGCGAUCAUGUUUAUUUGGCCUAAAGCGUCCGUAGCUGGUUAAGUAAAUCUCUUGUGAAAUUGUUUCGCUUAACGAAACAGCGUGCAGGAGAGACUGCUUAGCUAGGGACCGGGAGGAGUCAGAGGUAUGCUGGGGGGAGCGGUAAAAUGCAAUAAUCCUCGGUAGACCACCUGUGGCGAAGGCGUCUGACUAGAACGGGUCCGACAGUGAGGGACGAAAGCCAGGGAAGCAAACCGGAUUAGAUACCCGCGUAGUCC